GCAGAAGACCAUCUGCUCUGAAGGGUGUAGUUGAAAAAGAGCCAUUUUGAAUCAAAGCUGGAAAAUGCAUGCACUCAAAAAGGCACGGAUGGCUUAUAUUGGUGAUGGGCCAAGUACAAAGUCUGGGUUCCCCUGAAUGAGUGCCAAUAUGACUUCAGGUCAAAUAGAGACUAGAUUCCAAGUAUUGUACAUGAAGGAAAAGUCAAAGAAGUGAAUGCAUCCAGGAUAAAAGCUGAAUUUGUUUCGCUUAAGUUUAAUUAAAAUGAAGCAAAAUUAAGUAAAUAUCCUUACUACCCUUAUAUUUAAUAAUCUGUCCAAUUAAACAUUACAAUUUGACAACAACUUGGACCAAAUCUGGUCUGCAAAUAUACAUAUGACCAAGAGAUGGCAAAAGAGAGUUCAAAUCUUCUUUUUUCUGCCAUCUAGUGGUCAUUCCAUAUUUUAACCCAGACCUGAUAGCUCUAGCGGUGACUGUUGGAGAAACACUGUGGAAUAAUGUACACUCUUUUGGGGGGAUGGACCAGGGCUUUUUUUUUUUUUUUUGUCAUAGAACACCCAGAUCGGAGUUCUGGCACUUUUUUUGGAUGGAACCUUGUAGAGUGGGCAAGGCGGGUUGUGUGACGUAUGUGAGUUCCGUCACUUUUUUUUUUUUUUUACAAAAAAAGCACUGGGGUGGACUAUGUGCAAUUUAAGGACCUCUGUGCAUCUUUGUCAGGCAGAGGAAUGUAAGAAAGAAAGCACAAAAAAAGACUUCUUAAACGAAGUUUAAAUAUUUAAUAUCUCUUUUUUAAAAAGGCACACAGAGUAGUUAUUAUCAUACUUACAAACUUAAAUUACACCUGUUUUUACCAUUUCUUGAAAAUAUAUAUUUAGCGAGAGCAAUUUCUAUAAAAAGAAGGUUAUAUGUGGUCCUUCAGCUGUUGUUAACAGUAAGUUCCAUCAGCCUUUAGUUGACUGAGAAGUUCCUUUACAUCUUAAAAGUCACAUGUAGCUAAAUGUCUUUUUAACUUUCUUCAGCCUUUCACAGUACUCUUUGUACUGGAAAACACUGGCGGCUCAUUUAAAUCAUGUGGUUCUGGAAACAUUUUUAAGUUUCUCUGGGUUAGAUCCUCAUAAUGCCUUUCCUGGCUGAUGUCCCAAGGCUGUUUGUCCAAUGUAUCGCUAUCAGAAAGGCAGCGAUACAUUUUCUUUUUAAAAAAGAAAAGUAUAAAGUGAUAUAAUUGCCCUGUAAAUAAUGUUUUUAUUAUAGCAAACAUUUCACAGUUAAUUGCAGAUAUUACUUAACAAUGCUUUCCACUGCUUGUGAGUGCAUUUUCUCUUGGGCAACACAGUCAAACUAGUUUAUGGGUGGAUUUGAUCAACUAGGUCUGCAACAUCAGUGUACAGAUUCAUGUGGUACUAAUGAUGCAGUUUUAAUUUUAAUUUAAGACAGAUGGCAGAGGAAAAAACUUGUUGCGUUAAAUAUAUAAUUAGCCACUUGUUCCAUCAGCAUGCCAGAUUAUGUGCCUAUUUCUCAAUGAACCUCAGCUAACAGGGUUUGGGAGCUUAUUGUUCUGGAGGAUGAGUGAGAGAUGAAAAACCAACCAGGAAGGCAGGUUGCUCUGUCUGCUCUAAAGCCUCAGUUCCCAUUUCAGUUGUACCUGAUAAACAGGUAAAGAUGAAACUGUUGAGGUCCCAAGCAAAAACACAACCAUGCUGGCUGGGAAAUUCUGGGACUUGAAGUCCACAUGUCUUAAUAUUGCCAAGAUUGGACACCUGUGCUAUAGGUGAGGUCUGAGGUGACGUACCAUCUCUAGCAAGCUCCUAAUACGAAGCUGGAAUCUUUUAUUAAACUUUCUGAUCUCAGGCCAUGUGGGAACUUUGCAAGGAGAUAUUGCCUCUUCAGAGAAUGAUAUGGCGGUUACAUAAAAAGCCACAGUAAGCUUUUGCUUAGAACCUAGAAUUUUAAUUGUAGCUUGUUCAGUUAAACUAAGUAGGUUCUGUGAAUCCAACCAGUGUGAAUUAAACUGGCUUGGUUUAGUAUGAACCCAACUAAGGAAGUUUUAAAACCAUAUAUUAUGGCAGGGGUGUCAAACUCGCAAUAUCACGUGACAUGUUGCGAUGUAUUGUGACUUUUUUGCCGUUGCUGGCAAUGGGGUGGGCGCAGUUUCGCUAUGAUGCAUCCAGCCUGAGGGCCGGCAGUUUGACACCUCUGUAUUAUGGUAUAACGGUGCAGCCUAAUCAACAAACUAUGGCUAAACAAUCAUAUUUGUGCAACAAGGAUCUAAGAAUAUGAGACAUAGGAUAUGGCUUAUAAACUACACUAGUAGGGUAUACAUCCUGUACGUACGAUACCUACAUUAAAUAAACCACAUGAUGGCUUAGUGUGACAACCCUAAUCAUUCCUAGUGUAGAUUAUUCAGUUUUGAUUGUGUGCUUGUAGAUUCAAUCCAUUGUAGUUUAUUUAAACUAUAGUUUAGGACAAUUGAACCCAAUUUAAAACUCAUGAGAAGACCAAGGGGGAUAAGCCCCAUCUUGCCAAAAUUACACUUGUGGCCCUGCCUGGCCCUACCCUGAUAUAAAACAGUUUUCUUUGAUUUUAAUUUUUACAGCAAUUUUGUUUUAUAGAUUUGAUAGAUUCUUAUUCCUGGAAACUUCUCAUGAAAGCGAUAUCUGCCAAAAUUCCCUCUGCUGUGGGGGCUUUGAAGAGUUUGCAACUUUGGAGAUAGUUCCUUUUCUGGCAGAUGUCUCAUUGUUAUUGUGCCUGCCAAGUACAAUUGGGAAGCAUAACAAGAGAGAGGUGAUCUUUAUGCUUAUAACGCUUUGACCAGGAUGGCCAGCAUUAUGAAGAAAUUUGGGUCUCUGCACUUUAGCUAAAAAUAAUGACCUGACUUUUGGUUUUCAAAUAAUAAUAGUCAUAAUAACUUAUUCUUAAGAUGACUGGAAAAACACCUUUGGCACAUAAUGGCAAACUAAGGCACAACCUUUCUAAGAACGAACUUAGAAAGACACAGAUUGGAAGACUUCCUUCAGUAGCAGAGAUUGGUGAAAAAUACAGGCGGUCCUUGACUUACAACAGUUCAUUUACUGAUGGAAGUUAAAACAGCACUGAAAAAAGUGACCAAUGACUAUUUUUCACACUUAUAGCCAGUGCUUUUUUUCUAAAAAAAAAAAAAAA